CAUUGACGGGGGCCCGCACAAGCGGUGGAGCAUGUGGUUUAAUUCAGCAACGCGAAGAAUUACCAGGUCUUGACAUCCUCUGACAAUCCUAGAGAUAGGACGUCCCCUUCGGGGGCUGACAGGUGGUGCAUGGUUGUCGUCAGCUCGUGUCGUGAGAUGUUGGGUUAAGUCCCGCACGAGCUUCGGCCAUGGUUCCCAUGAAUCGAAACCGGUAUAAGUUCGAUAAUUUUUAGGAAAAAUCCGUAGGGACCUGGGACUACCAAAAGCCGGCUAUAGUCAGCAGCCGGUAUAUAGGGCAAGGUUUCCGGAAUUUGGGUAAAGGGCGCAGGCGGUUUUUAAUUUGUUAAGCCCCCGGCUCAACCGGGAGGGUCAUGGAAACUGGGNAACUUGAGUGCAGAAGAGGAGAGUGGAAUUCCACGUGUAGCGGUGAAAUGCGUAGAGAUGUGGAGGAACACCAGUGGCGAAGGCGACUCUCUGGUCUGUAACUGACGCUGAGGAGCGAAAGCGUGGGGAGCGAACAGGAUUAGAUACCCUGGUAGUCCACGCCGUAAACGAUGAGUGCUAAGUGUUAGGGGGUUUU
rnacentral:rRNA from 1 species